rnacentral:rRNA from 1 species
GUAAGGAAUAUUGGUCAAUGGGCGCAAGCCUGAACCAGCCAUGCCGCGUGCAGGAAGACGGCCCUAUGGGUUGUAAACUGCUUUUAUCAGGGAAUAAACCCCCGCUCGUGAGCGGGGCUGAAGGUACCUGAAGAAUAAGCAUCGGCUAACUCCGUGCCAGCAGCCGCGGUAAUACGGAGGAUGCAAGCGUUAUCCGGAUUCAUUGGGUUUAAAGGGUGCGCAGGCGGAUUGGUAAGUCAGGGGUGAAAUCCCACAGCUCAACUGUGGAACUGCCUUUGAUACUGUCAGUCUAGAGUAUAGUUGAAGUUGGCGGAAUGUGUCAUGUAGCGGUGAAAUGCUUAGAUAUGACACAGAACACCGAUCGCGAAGGCAGCUAGCUAAGCUAUAACUGACGCUCAUGCACGAAAGCGUGGGGAUCAAACAGGAUUAGAAACCCGGGUAGUCC